rnacentral:rRNA from 1 species
CGCUGGCGGCACGCUUAACACAUGCAAGUCGAACGGAGUUAUCGAGAGCUUGCUUUGAUAACUUAGUGGCGGACGGGUGAGUAACACGUGAGCAAUCUGCCCUUAAGAGGGGGAUAGCAGUUGGAAACGACUGAUAAUACCGCAUAAGAUAGUAGUACCGCAUGGUACAGCUAUAAAAGAUUUAUCGCUUAAGGAUGAGCUCGCGUCUGAUUAGCUAGUUGGUGAGGUAACGGCUCACCAAGGCAACGAUCAGUAGCCGGACUGAGAGGUUGACGGCCACAUUGGGACUGAGACACGGCCCAGACUCCUACGGGAGGCAGCAGUGGGGAAUAUUGCACAAUGGAGGAAACUCUGAUGCCAGCGAUGCCGCGUGAGGGAAGAAGGUUUUAGGACUGUAAACCUCUGUUGACAGGGACGAUAAUGACGGUACCUGUUGAGGAAGCUCCGGCUAACUACGUGCCAGCCGCUGC